rnacentral:tRNA from 1 species
GGAGAGGUGUCCGAGCGGCCGAAGGAGCACGAUUGGAAAUCGUGUGUACCCCUAAAGGGUACCGAGGGUUCAAAUCCCUCCCUCUCCGCCA